UACAGAGGGUGCAAGCGUUAAUCGGAAUUACUGGGCGUAAAGCGUGCGUAGACGGUUACAUAAGUCGGGUGUGAAAGCCCCGGGCUCAACCUGGGAAUUGCAUUCGAGACUGCGUAGCUAGGGUGCGGAAGAGGGAAGCGGAAUUUCCGGUGUAGCGGUGAAAUGCGUAGAUAUCGGAAGGAACACCAGUGGCGAAAGCGGCUUCCGUGGUCCAGCACCGACGUCAGGCACGAAAGCGUGGGGAGCAAACAGG
rnacentral:rRNA from 1 species